rnacentral:rRNA from 1 species
GUAGGGUGCGAGCGUUAAUCGGAAUUACUGGGCGUAAAGCGUGCGCAGGCGGUUUUGUAAGCCAGAUGUGAAAUCCCCGGGCUUAACCUGGGAAUGGCAUUUGGGACUGCAAGGCUGGAGUUUGGCAGAGGAGACUGGAAUUCCUGGUGUAGCAGUGAAAUGCGUAGAUAUCAGGAGGAAUACCGAUGGCGAAGGCAGGUCUCUGGGCUAUAACUGACGCUCAUGCACGAAAGCGUGGGGAGCAAACAGGAUUAGAUACCCUGGUAGUCCACGCCCUAAACGAUGUCGACUGGUUGUUGGGGGUUUGACACUCUCAGUAACGAAGCUAACGCGUGAAGUCGACCGCCUGGGGAGUACGGCCGCAAGGUUA